AUUGAACGCUAGCGGCAGGCCUAACACAUGCAAGUCGAACGAGUGGCGGACGGGUGAGCAAUUUCUGGGAACCUGCCUGAUGGAGGGGGAUAACUACUGGAAACGGUAGCUAAUACCGCAUACCAUCAGAUGUGCCCAGAUGGGAUUAGCUAGUUGGUGGGGUAUCGGCUCACCAAGGCGACGGUCCCUAGCUGGUCUGAGAGGAUGACCAGCCAAACUGGAACUGAGACACGGUCCAGACUCCGACGGGAGGCAGGAGUGGGGAAUAUUGCACAAUGGGCGCAAGCCUGAUGCAGCCAUGCCGCGUGUAUGAAGAAGGCCUGCGGGUUGUAAAGUACUUUCAGCGGGGAGGCGUUACUCGCAGAAGAAGCACCGGAUAACUCCGUGCCAGCAGCCGCGGUAAUUC
rnacentral:rRNA from 1 species